AAGACCUUGCGCUUUUGGAGCGGCCGAUGCCUGAUUGGCUUGUUGGUAAGGUAAAAGCUUACCAAGGCUUCGAUCAGUAGCUGGUCUGAGAGGACGGCCAGCCACACUGGGACUGAGACACGGCCCAGACUCCUACGGGAGGCAGCAGUGGGGAAUUUUGGACAAUGGGGGCAACCCUGAUCCAGCCAUGCCGCGUGAGUGAAGAAGGCCUUCGGGUUGUAAAGCUCUUUCAGCCGGAACGAAACGGUUACGGUUAAUACCCGUGACUACUGACGGUACCGGAAGAAGAAGCACCGGCUAACUACGUGCCAGCAGCCGCGGUAAUACGUAGGGUGCGAGCGUUAAUCGGAAUUACUGGGCGUAAAGCGUGCGCAGGUGGUUUUGUAAGUCAGAUGUGAAAGCCCCGGGCUUAACCUGGGAACU
rnacentral:rRNA from 1 species